GUUUCUGUAGUGUAGUGGUUAUCACGUUCGCCUCACACGCGAAAGGUCCCCAGUUCGGAACUGGGCGGAAACA
rfam:Danio rerio chromosome 4, GRCz11 reference primary assembly.